AUUGAACGCUGGCGGCAUGCUUUACACAUGCAAGUCGAACGGUAACAGGCCGCAAGGUGCUGACGAGUGGCGCACGGGUGCGUAAUGCAUCGGAACGUGCCCAGUCGUGGGGGAUAACUACUCGAAAGAGUAGCUAAUACCGCAUACGAUCUAUGGAUGAAAGCGGGGGACCGUAAGGCCUCGCGCGAUUGGAGCGGCCGAUGUCAGAUUAGGUAGUUGGUGGGGUAAAGGCUCACCAAGCCAACGAUCUGUAGCUGGUCUGAGAGGACGACCAGCCACACUGGGACUGAGACACGGCCCAGACUCCUACGGGAGGCAGCAGUGGGGAAUUUUGGACAAAGGGCGCAAGCCUGAUCCAGCAAUGCCGCGUGCAGGAAGAAGGCCUUCGGGUUGUAAACUGCUUUUGUACGGAACGAAACGGCUCUGGUUAAUACCCGGGGCUAAUGACGGUACCGUAAGAAUAGGCACCGGCUAACUACGUG
rnacentral:rRNA from 1 species